GAAAUGCGAUAAGUAGUGUGAAUUACAGAAUUCAGUGAAUCAUCGAAUCUUUGAACGCACAUUGCGCCCCUUGGUAUUCCAUGGGGCAUGCCUGUUCGAGCGUCAUUUGUACCCUCAAGCUCUGCUUGGUGUUGGGUGUUUGUCCCCGUCUCCGCGCGUGGACUCGCCCCAAAGUGAUUGGCAGCCGGCGUACUGGUCCCGGAGCGCAGCACAUGUCGCGCAAACGAGUGCCUUGGUACGGCGGCGUCCAUAAGCCCCUCUCUCACGCUCUUGACCUCGGAUCAGGUAGGGAUACCCGCUGAACUUGAGC
rnacentral:misc_RNA from 1 species